GAUGAACGCUGGCGGCGUGCCUAAUACAUGCAAGUCGAGCGAACAGAUGAGGAGCUUGCUCCUCUGACGUUAGCGGCGGACGGGUGAGUAACACGUGGAUAACCUACCUAUAAGACUGGGAUAACUUCGGGAAACCGGAGCUAAUACCGGAUAAUAUAUUGAACCGCAUGGUUCAAUAGUGAAAGACGGUUUUGCUGUCACUUAUAGAUGGAUCCGCGCCGCAUUAGCUAGUUGGUAAGGUAACGGCUUACCAAGGCAACGAUGCGUAGCCGACCUGAGAGGGUGACGGCACACACAGGAACUAAGACCCGGCCACGCCCCCUAGGGGGGGAGGAGGGAGGGAUUUUCCCGAAAGGGGCGAAAGCCGGAGGGACCACCGCCGCGUGAUUGAUGAAGUUCUUGGGAUGGAAAACCUUUUUUAUUAGGGAAGACAAAAUGUGUAAGUAAUUAUGCACGUCUGGAGGGUCCCUAAUAAGAAGCCCACGGCAACCUCCGUC
rnacentral:rRNA from 1 species